CGCCUGGGGAGUGCGGCCGCAAGGUUAAAACUCAAAUGAAUUGACGGGGGCCCGCACAAGCGGUGGAGCAUGUGGUUUAAUUCGACGCAACGCGAAGAACCUUACCUGGCCUUGACAUGCAGAGAACUUUCCAGAGAUGGAUUGGUGCCUUCGGGAACUCUGACACAGGUGCUGCAUGGCCGUCGUCAGCUCGUGUCGCGAGAUGUUGGGUUAAGUCCCGUAACGAGCGCAACCCCUAUCCCUAGUUGCUAGCAGUUCGGCUGAGAACUCUAGGGAGACUGCCGGUGACAAACCGGAGGAAGGUGGGGAUGACGUCAGGUCAUCAUGGCCCUUACGGCCAGGGCUACACACGUGCUACAAUGGCGCGCACAGAGGGCUGCAAACCCGCGAGGGGGAGCCAAUCUCACAAAACGCGUCGUAGUCCGGAUCGCAGUCUGCAACUCGACUGCGUGAAGUCGGAAUCGCUAGUAAUCGUGAAUCAGAAUGUCACGGUGAAUACGUUCCCGGGCCUUGUACACACCGCCCGUCACACCAUGGGAGUGGAUUGCACCAGAAGUGGUUAGUCUAACCUUCGGGAGGACGAUCACCACGGUGUGGUUCAUGACUGGGGUGAAGUCGUAACAAGGUAACCGUA
rnacentral:rRNA from 1 species